CGUACAGAACUACAGAGAUGGCGGAACAUGCAGUUCCAACAAAAAAGGGAGAGCUUCCAGUUAGAUCUACAGAUGCCACCUUGGAGGAAUACUUACUACAGAAAAAUGGACCAAAUCUCUUCAAUGGAGACUACUGCUGCUAGUGGCUACAAAACGCUUCAGACUGAGGUUCACCUUCAAAAAGGACAACAAUCAAAUUGAGAAUCUGUAGCAACAAUUGAAAACUGACAUUUACAGAUUCUCUCCAUCCAAACAGAAUGAACUCAAGGAGAAGAAAAUAUUCCGUCUCUACAUUAUACAAAGAUAGAAGCAUUCACUCAUAGGGUUGAAUACAAUAGCAAGGCAAACUAUGUUCAUUGUAAAAUAAACCCUGAAAA